UCCAGCAAAGGGGAUGGAGUCCCCCUUGAACCGCGACAGCCGCUGAUGACUCCUGCUGCCCG
rnacentral:ncRNA from 2 species